GGAGGGCUGGCCGAGCGGUCGAAGGCGGCUGACUUGAAAUCAGUUGUGGGUCACCCCACCGCGGGUUCGAAUCCUGCGCCCUCCG
rnacentral:tRNA from 1 species